rnacentral:rRNA from 1 species
GUGUCAGCAGCCGCGGUAAAACGUAGGAGACGAACGUUAUCCGGAGUUACUGGGCGUAAAGGGCGUGCAGGCGGUCUGAUAAGUUCGGCGUGAAAUUUCCCGGCUUAACCGGGGGAUGUCGUCGGAGACUGUCGGACUAGAGGGUGAUAGAGGCGUGUGGAAUUCCGGGUGUAGUGGUGAAAUGCGUAGAGAUCCGGAGGAACACCAGUGGCGAAGGCGACACGCUGGGUCACACCUGACGCUAAGACGCGACAGCAUGGGGAGCGAACGGGAUUAGAAACCCUUGUAGUCC